rnacentral:rRNA from 1 species
GACGAACGCUGGCGGCGUGCCUAAUACAUGCAAGUUGAGCGAUGAAGAUUGGUGCUUGCACCAAUUUGAAGAGCAGCGAACGGGUGAGUAACGCGUGGGGAAUCUGCCUUUGAGCGGGGGACAACAUUUGGAAACGAAUGCUAAUACCGCAUAACAACUUUAAACAUAAGUUUUAAGUUUGAAAGAUGCAAUUGCAUCACUCAAAGAUGAUCCCGCGUUGUAUUAGCUAGUUGGUGAGGUAAAGGCUCACCAGGGCGAUGAUACAUAGCCGACCUGAGAGGGUGAUCGGCCACAUUGGGACUGAGACACGGCCCAAACUCCUACGGGAGGCAGCAGUAGGGAAUCUUCGGCAAUAGACGAAAGUCUGACCGAGCAACGCCGCGUGAGUGAAGAAGGUUUUCGGAUCGUAAAACUCUGUUGGUAGAGAAGAACGUUGGUGAGAGUGGAAAGCUCAUCAAGUGACGGUAACUACCCAGAAAGGGACGGCUAACUACGUG